CCCUUAGAUGUUCGGGGCCGCACGCGCGCUACACUGAUGCAUGCAGCAAGUCUUUUCCUUGGCCGAGAGGCCUGGGCAAUCUUUGAAUAUGCAUCGUGAUGGGGAUAGACGAUUGCAAUUAUUCGUCUUCAACGAGGAAUUCCUAGUAAACGCAAGUCAUCAGCUUGCAUUGAUUACGUCCCUGCCCUUUGUACACACCGCCCGUCGCACCUACCGAUUGAAUGGUCCGGUGAAGGCUCCGGAGGCGUCUUUCUCAAUGUUUAUUCGGCGAGAUUGGUGCCAAAGUUGAAUGAACCUUACCAUUUAGAGGAAGGUGAAGUCGUAACA
rnacentral:rRNA from 1 species